rnacentral:rRNA from 1 species
GACGAACGCUGGCGGCGUGCUUAACACAUGCAAGUCGAACGGAAAGGCCCUGCUUUUGUGGGGUGCUCGAGUGGCGAACGGGUGAGUAACACGUGAGUAACCUGCCCUUGACUUUGGGAUAACUUCAGGAAACUGGGGCUAAUACCGGAUAGGAGCUCCUGCUGCAUGGUGGGGGUUGGAAAGUUUCGGCGGUUGGGGAUGGACUCGCGGCUUAUCAGCUUGUUGGUGGGGUAGUGGCUUACCAAGGCUUUGACGGGUAGCCGGCCUGAGAGGGUGACCGGCCACAUUGGGACUGAGAUACGGCCCAGACUCCUACGGGAGGCAGCAGUGGGGAAUAUUGCACAAUGGGCGGAAGCCUGAUGCAGCAACGCCGCGUGCGGGAUGACGGCCUCCGGGUUGUAAACCGCUUUCGCCUGUGGCGAAGCGUGAGUGACGGUAAUGGGUAAAGAAGCACCGGCUAACUACGUG